CCUACGGGGGGCAGCAGUGAGGAAUAUUGGUCAAUGGACGAGAGUCUGAACCAGCCAAGUAGCGUGAAGGAUGACUGCCCUAUGGGUUGUAAACUUCUUUUAUAUGGGAAUAAAACGUUCCACGUGUGGGAUUUUGUAUGUACCAUAUGAAAAAGCAUCGGCUAACUCCGUGCCAGCAGCCGCGGUAAUACGGAGGAUGCGAGCGUUAUCCGGAUUUAUUGGGUUUAAAGGGUGCGCAGGCGGCGUGUCAAGUUAGCGGUAAAAUGUCAGGGCUCAACCCCGGCCGGCCGUUGAAACUGGCGUGCUCGAGUUGGAGAGAGGUAUGCGGAAUGCGUGGUGUAGCGGUGAAAUGCAUAGAUAUCACGAAGAACACCGAUUGCGAAGGCAGCAUACC
rnacentral:rRNA from 1 species